AUCCAGCUGACGAGUCACAAACAGGACGAAACACACGUCCUGGAU
rnacentral:hammerhead_ribozyme from 1 species